UCGAGAAUCUUCGGCAAUGGGCGCAAGCCUGACCGAGCGACGCCGCGUGGAGGAUGAAGGCCCUCGGGUUGUAAACUCCUGUCGAGGGGGAGGAAGCUUCGGUUGACCGAACCCUGGAGGAAGCACGGGCUAAGUUCGUGCCAGCAGCCGCGGUAAGACGAACCGUGCGAACGUUAUUCGGAAUCACUGGGCUUAAAGCGCGUGUAGGCGGGCCGCCACGUCGGCUGCUGAAAUCCCCCGGCUCAACCGGGGAAGGGGCACCGAUACGAGCGGCCUGGAGGGGGGUAGGGGGGUCUGGAACUUCCGGUGGAGCGGUGAAAUGCGUUGAGAUCGGAAGGAACGCCCGUGGCGAAAGCGAGGCCCUGGACCCUUUCUGACGCUGAGACGCGAAAGCCAGGGGAGCGAACGGGAUUAGAUACCCGCGUAGUCC
rnacentral:rRNA from 1 species